GUACUCUCACACUCUCAAUGCUUUUGGAUUGGGAGCGGUGGACUUGGGUGUUGCUGCUUUACGGUGGCUCACCUCAAAUGAAGUAGUGCAACUCUCGGUUGGACAUAGUACGGCGUGAUAAGUGUCUUCGCCGGCGCCUCACUAGAGGGUGGCUGAUCAGGAGCUCUGUGCUUCAAACCGUCUUCGGACAAUCUUUGACA
rnacentral:misc_RNA from 1 species